AGAGUUUGAUCCUGGCUCAGGAUGAACGCUGGCGGUAUGCUUAACACAUGCAAGUCGAACGGGAUACUUCGGUAUCUAGUGGCGGACGGGUGAGUAACGCGUGAGAAUCUGGCUUCAGGUUCGGGACAACCAUUGGAAACGAUGGCUAAUACCGGAUGUGCCGCAGGGUGAAAGAUUAAUUGCCUGAAGAUGAGCUCGCGUCUGAUUAGCUAGUUGGUGGGGUAAGAGCCUACCAAGGCGACGAUCAGUAACUGGUCUGAGAGGAUGACCAGUCACGCUGGGACUGAGACACGGCCCAGACUCCUACGGGAGGCAGCAGUGGGGAAUUUUCCGCAAUGGGCGAAAGCCUGACGGAGCAAUACCGCGUGAGGGAGGAAGGCUCUAGGGUUGUAAACCUCUUUUCUCAGGGAAGAACAAAAUGACGGUACCUGAGGAAUAAGCAUCGGCUAACUCCGUGCCAGCAGCCGCGGUAAUACGGAGGAUGCAAGCGUUAUCCGGAUUUAUUGGGCGUAAAGCGUCCGCAGGUGGCAGUUCAAGUCUGCUGUCAAAGGUCGGGGCUCAACCCCGAACAGGCAGUGGAAACUGAACAGCUAGAGUACGGUAGGGGCAGAGGGAAUUCCCAGUGUAGCGGUGAAAUGCGUAGAGAUUGGGAAGAACACCGGUGGCGAAAGCGCUCUGCUAGGCCGAAACUGACACUCAUGGACGAAAGCUAGGGGAGCGAAUGGGAUUAGAUACCCCAGUAGUCC
rnacentral:rRNA from 1 species